AGAGCUGUGUCAACUGUACCCAUGAGAGCUUGAUAACUGUUUCAUACUUCCUAUCAGUCCCACCUUUGACAUCAGUAACCUGAGCUGAAAUGGAUUCAUUUCUGCGCAACACAUAAGAAGUGUGUGUUGAUGGAUUGCAUUUCAUGAAAUGGAAAUGUUUUGUAUGCCUCUCAUCAUAUGCAACUCAGGUGGAAGAAAUUCUCUGUUUGCUUAUAUCAAACUGUAGUAAUUAAUCAUAGGGGAUGGCCAGAAGAGUGUGCAUUUUGG
rnacentral:lncRNA from 1 species